rnacentral:ncRNA from 1 species
UAGCUUUUUUAUUAGUUGUACGCAAAUUUACACAUGCAAGCAUCCCCAAGCCAGUGAGAAUGCCCUUAAAAUCAAUUUAUGAUAAGAAGGAGCGGGUAUCAAGUACACAUGAAAGUAGCUCAAUACACCUUGUACAACCACACCCCCACGGGAAACAGCAGUGAUAAAAAUUAAGCUAUAAACGAAAGUUCGACUUAGUUAUGCAAUCUAUCUAGGGUUGGUAAAUCUCGUGCCAGCCACCGCGGUCAUACGAUUAACCCAAAUUAAUAAAUACCGGCGUAGAGAAUGUUUAAGAAUAUAACCAAACUAAGAUUAAAUUUUAUCUAUAUCGUAAAAAAUUCUAGACAAAUUAAAACUCAAUAAACGCAAGUAAUCUUAUAAUAUCUGAACACAUGACAGCUCAGACUCAAACUGGGAUUAGAUACCCCACUAUGCUGAGCCAUAAACAUAAAUUAUUGAACAAAACAAAAUAUUUCGCCAGAGGACUACCAGCAACAGCUAAAAACUCAAAGGACUUGGCGGUGCUUCACACCCGCCUAGAGGAGCCUGUUCUGUAAUCGAUGAACCCCGAUAAACCUCACCACUGUUUGCUAAUACAGCUUAUAUACCGCCAUCUUCAGCGAACCUUAAUAAAGGAAAAAAGUAAGCACAAUCACAAGCAUAAAGACGUUAGGUCAAGGUGUAGCCAAUAAAGUGGGAAGAAAUGGGCUACAUUUUCUUAACAAAGAACAUCUAAACGAAAACUAUUAUGAAAUUUGAUAGUGUAAGGAGGAUUUAGUAGUAAAUUGAGAAUAGAGAGCUCAAUUGAACAAGGCCAUGAAGCACGCACACACCGCCCGUCACCCUCCUUAAGUAAACACGUGUGUAUGAUCAUGAUAAGCAACACACAAAACAUGAAAGGAGACAAGUCGUAACAAGGUAAGCAUACUGGAAAGUGUGCUUGGAGUA